AUUGAACGCUGGCGGCAUGCUUUACACAUGCAAGUCGAACGGUAACAGGUCAAGCUGACGAGUGGCGAACGGGUGAGUAAUGCAUCGGAACGUGCCCGGUCGUGGGGGAUAACGCAGCGAAAGCUGCGCUAAUACCGCAUACGAUCUAAGGAUGAAAGCGGGGGACCGGAAGGCCUCGCGCGAUCGGAGCGGCCGAUGUCAGAUUAGGUAGUUGGUGGGGUAAAGGCUCACCAAGCCAACGAUCUGUAGCUGGUCUGAGAGGACGACCAGCCACACUGGGACUGAGACACGGCCCAGACUCCUACGGGAGGCAGCAGUGGGGAAUUUUGGACAAUGGGCGAAAGCCUGAUCCAGCAAUGCCGCGUGCAGGAAGAAGGCCUUCGGGUUGUAAACUGCUUUUGUACGGAGCGAAAAGGUCUCCUCUAAUACAGGGGGCUCAUGACGGUACCGUGAGAAUAAGCACCGGCUAACUACGUGCCAGCCGCCGCGGUAA
rnacentral:rRNA from 1 species